GACCUAGUUGAUCCUGCCAAUAUUCAUAUGCUUGUCUCAAAGAUUAAGCCAUGCAUGUCUAAGUAUGAACUAAUUCAGACUGUGAAACUGUGGAUGGCUCAUUAAAUCAGUUAUAGUUUCUUUGAUGGUACCCUACUACUUGGAUAACCAUAGUAAUUCUAGAGCUAAUAUGUGCACCAAGUCCCGACUCUUUGGAAGGGAUGCAUUUAUUAUAUAAAAGGCCAGCACGAGCUUGCCUGCUUCUUCGGUGAAUCAUGAUAACUCGAUGGAUCGCACAUCCCUUGUGUUGGCGAUGCUUCAUUCAUAUUUCUGUCCUAUCAACUUUUGAUGGUAGGAUAGAGGCCUACCAUGGUGGUGAUGGGUGAUAUAGACUUAGGGUUCGAUUCUGGAGAGGGAGCCUGAAAAACAACUACCACAUCCAAGGAAGGCAGUAGGCGUGCAAAUUACCCAAUCUUGACAUGGGGAGGUAGUGACAAUAAAUAACAAUACUGGGCUCAUCAAGUCUAGUAAUUGGAAUGAGUACAAUCUAAAUCCCUUAAUGAGGAUCCAUUGGAGGGCAAGUCUGGUGCCAACAUCUACGGUAAUUCCAGAUCCAAUAGCGUAUAUUUAAGUUGUUGUAGUUAAAAAUAUCGUAGUUGGAUCUUGGGUCGUAAAGGUCGGUCCACCUACUUGGUGUGCACCUGCCCUUCCAUCCCUUUUGUCAGUGGCAUGAUCCUAACCUUAACUAGUUGGGUCGCGGUUCCAACAUUGUUACUUUGAAAAAAUUAGAGUGCUCAAAACAAGAUUAUGUUCUGAAUACAUUAGCAUGGAAUAACACGAUAGGAGUCUGGUCCUAUUGUGUGGCCUUCGAGACCAGAGUAAUGAUUAAUAGGGAUUGUCGGGGGCAUUCAUAUUUCAUUGUUAGAGGUUAAAUUCUUGUAUUUAUGAAAGACAAACCACUAUGAAAGAAUUUUCUAAGGAUGUUUUCAUUAAUCAAGAACGAAAGUUGGGGGAUCAAAGAUGAUCAGAUAUCGUUCUAGUCUCAACCAUAAACGAUGCCGACCAGGGAUCAACAAAUGUUUCUCUAAGGACUCUGCCAACACCUUCUGAGAAAUUAGAGUGUUUGGGUUCCAGGGGUAGUAUGGUCGCAAGGAUGAAACUUAAAGGAAUUGACAGAGGUAUUUGGCUCUAACAUGCAACCCCAACUAAAGAGAGAACACCC
rnacentral:rRNA from 1 species